CUUCCGGUCGACGAGGUACAAGUACCUCGUCGACUGGAAGGACACCCUUCCGGUCGACGAGGUACAGGUACCUCGUCGACUGGAAG
rnacentral:miRNA from 1 species